rnacentral:rRNA from 1 species
AUAUUGGACAAUGGGGGGAACCCUGAUCCAGCCAUGCCGCGUGUGUGAAGAAGGUCUUCGGAUUGUAAAGCACUUUACGUUUGGAGGAAGAGUUGUAGGCUAAUACCUUGCAAUUUUGACGUUACCAACAGAAUAAGCACCGUCUAAUUUCGUGCCAGCAGCCGAGGUAAUACGAAGGGUGAAAGCGUUAAUCGGAAUUAUUGGGCGUAAAGCUGGCGUAGGUGGUUAGUUAAGUUGGAAGUGAAAGCCCCGGGCUUAACCUGGGAAUUGCUUUCAAAACUGGCAAGCUAGAGUAUGGCAGAGGUUGGUGGAAUUUCCUGUGUAGCGGUGAAAUGCGUAGAUAUAGGAAGGAACAUCAGUGGCGAAGGCGACUACCUGGACUGAUACUGACACUGAGGUGCGAAAGCGUGGGGAGCAAACAGG